rnacentral:rRNA from 1 species
CAUGCAGUCGAGCGAUGAGCCCUUCGGGGUGGAUUAGCGGCGGACGGGUGAGUAACACGUGGGUAACCUGCCUUAUAGAGGGGGAUAGCCUUCCGAAAGGAAGAUUAAUACCGCAUGAAAUGUUUUUAUCGCAUGGUAGAAACAUCAAAGGAGUAAUCCGCUAUAAGAUGGACCCGCGGCGCAUUAGCUAGUUGGUGAGGUAACGGCCCACCAAGGCGACGAUGCGUAGCCGACCUGAGAGGGUGAUCGGCCACAUUGGAACUGAGACACGGUCCAGACUCCUACGGGAGGCAGCAGUGGGGAAUAUUGCGCAAUGGGGGAAACCCUGACGCAGCAACGCCGCGUGAAUGAAGAAGGCCUUAGGGUUGUAAAGUUCUGUUUUCUGGGACGAUAAUGACGGUACCAGAGGAGGAAGCCACGGCUAACUACGUGCCAGCAGCCGCGGUAAUACGUAGGUGGCAAGCGUUGUCCGGAUUUACUGGGCGUAAAGGAUGCGUAGGCGGAUGUUUAAGUGAGAUGUGAAAUACCCGAGCUCAACUUGGGUGCUGCAUUUCAAACUGGAUAUCUAGAGUGCAGGAGAGGAAAGCGGAAUUCCUAGUGUAGCGGUGAAAUGCGUAGAGAUUAGGAAGAACACCAGUGGCGAAGCGGCUUUCUGGACUGUAACUGACGCUGAGGCAUGAAAGCGGUGGGGGAGCAAACAGGAUUAGAUACCCUGGUAGUCCACCGCCGUAAACGAUGAUACUAGGUGUAGGAGGUAUCGACUCCUUCUGGUGCGCAGUAACACCAAUAAGUAUUCCGCCUGGGGGGAGUACGAUCCGCAGAAUUUAACUCCAAAGGAAUUUGAC